CUUAACACAUGCAAGUCGAACGAUGAACCAGGAGCUUGCUCUUGGGGAUUAGUGGCGAACGGGUGAGUAACACGUGAGUAACCUGCCCUGGACUCUGGGAUAACCCCGAGAAAUCGGAGCUAAUACCGGAUAGGACCUGGAACCGCAUGGUUUUGGGUGGAAAGUUUUUUCGGUCUGGGAUGGACUCGCGGCCUAUCAGCUUGUUGGUGAGGUAAUGGCUCACCAAGGCGUCGACGGGUAGCCGGCCUGAGAGGGUGACCGGCCACACUGGGACUGAGACACGGCCCAGACUCCUACGGGAGGCAGCAGUGGGGAAUAUUGCACAAUGGGCGAAAGCCUGAUGCAGCAACGCCGCGUGAGGGAUGACGGCCUUCGGGUUGUAAACCUCUUUUAGUAGGGAAGAAGGGCUUCGGCUUGACGGUACCUGCAGAAAAAGCACCGGCUAACUACGUGCCAGCAGCCGCGGUAAUACGUAGGGUGCGAGCGUUGUCCGGAAUUAUUGGGCGUAAAGAGCUCGUAGGCGGUUUGUCACGUCUGCUGUGAAAUCCCGAGGCUCAACCUCGGGCCUGCAGUGGGUACGGGCAGACUGGAGUGCGGUAGGGGAGAUUGGAAUUCCUGGUGUAGCGGUGGAAUGCGCAGAUAUCAGGAGGAACACCGAUGGCGAAGGCAGAUCUCUGGGCCGUAACUGACGCUGAGGAGCGAAAGCGUGGGGAGCGAACAGGAUUAGAUACCCUGGUAGUCCACGCCGUAAACGUUGGGCGCUAGAUGUGGGGACCAUUCCACGGUUUCCGUGUCGUAGCUAACGCAUUAAGCGCCCCGCCUGGGGAGUACGGCCGCAAGGCUAAAACUCAAAGGAAUUGACGGGGGCCCGCACAAGCGGCGGAGCAUGCGGAUUAAUUCGAUGCAACGCGAAGAACCUUACCAAGGCUUGACAUAUACGAGAACGCCGCAGAAAUGUGGAACUCUUUGGACACUCGUAUACAGGUGGUGCAUGGUUGUCGUCAGCUCGUGUCGUGAGAUGUUGGGUUAAGUCCCGCAACGAGCGCAACCCUCGUCGUAUGUUGCCAGCACGUAAUGGUGGGAACUCAUAUGAGACUGCCGGGGUCAACUCGGAGGAAGGUGGGGAUGACGUCAAAUCAUCAUGCCCCUUAUGUCUUGGGCUUCACGCAUGCUACAAUGGCCGGUACAAAGGGCUGCGAUGUCGUAAGGCGGAGCGAAUCCCAAAAAGCCGGUCUCAGUUCGGAUUGAGGUCUGCAACUCGACCUCAUGAAGUCGGAGUCGCUAGUAAUCGCAGAUCAGCAACGCUGCGGUGAAUACGUUCCCGGGCCUUGUACACACCGCCCGUCAAGUCAUGAAAGUCGGUAACACCCGAAGCCGGUGGCCUAACCCUUGUGGAGGGAGCCGUCGAAGGU
rnacentral:rRNA from 1 species